GUUCAGGAGUUCAAAACCAGCCUGAGCAAGGAUGAGAUCUGGUAGCCAUGGAAGCACAUAUUCUUGUUCAUUGGCAAAGCUGUCACCAUUUAAUUGGUAUCAGAUUCUGACUUGCACGAGCAACAUUC
ensembl:snoRNA